GUCUUUAUAGUAUAGUGGUUAGUACAUCAGCUUGUGGUUUAACACCUGCAAGCCGCUGAGGACUCGUGUUCGAUUCACGAUAAGGACA